GGACAGCGGCGGGAGAUGCGGGGCCGGUAACGCGCUGCGCUGGUUCACCUCCAUGGUGGUCUACGCUGCCUUCCUGGGGCUGGGUCUGAGUAUUGGUAUAGUAGGACCUACAUUUCAAGACUUGGCUGUGAAUGUGAACCGCAACAUCAGUGAUAUUUCCUACAUUUUUGUGGGCCGUGCAUGUGGGUAUCUAGGUGGUUCUGUGAUUGGUGGAUUUCUCUUUGACCGCAUGAAUCAUAAUUUAAUUUUGGGACUAUCAAUGCUGGGGGCAUCUGUUGGUCUCUCCCUUGUCCCCUUUUGCAAGAAAGCAAUAUUACUGGUUGUGAUGAUGGCUGUCUUUGGAAUCUGCACUGGAAUUUUAGACACAGGUGGCAAUGUCCUCAUCCUGCAUAUAUGGAGAAGUGAAGCAGCCCCACAUCUGCAGGCUUUGCAUUUCACUUUUGCCUUGGGGGCAUUUUUGGCUCCCAUACUGGCCAAGUUGGCCCUUGGCAGUGCUGUGCCCUCUGAAAACCACAUGAUAGCUGACAUGUCAAACCACUCUGAGCUCACUCUGCCACCUGCAGCCGACUUAGAAGUCAUAUUUGGAGUACCUGCUAAUAAGAAUUUGCUAUGGGCUUAUGCUGUUAUAGGAACUUAUACUUUGGUGAUGUUUGCCUUCUUUAUUGUUUUGUUUUUCAAAAAAAUUCCAAAUCAAGAGAAAGCAAAAGAAGCUGCUCAGAAGAUUCGAACUACGAAAUACCAGAAUGCCCUUCUUGGUCUUCUUUUUGUGUUCUUCUUUUUUUACGUAGGAGCAGAGGUCACAUAUGGCUCAUACGUUUUCUCUUUUGGAACACGGCACGCUGGCAUGAGUGAAAGCCAAGCAGCAGGCUUGAACUCUGCCUUCUGGGGGACAUUUGCCGCUUGCAGGGGCAUGGCGAUCUGUUUUGCUACAUGUCUGCAACCUGGAACCAUGAUUGUGUUAAGCAAUGUGGGCAGUUUGUUUUCCUCCCUGCUUCUAGUGAUUUUUGAUAAGAACCACAUUUGUCUUUGGGUGGCAACUGCGGUGUAUGGGGCUUCAAUGGCUACUACAUUUCCCAGUGGCAUUUCCUGGAUUGAACAGUACAUGACCAUUAAAGGAAAAUCUGCAGCUUUAUUUGUAGUUGGUGCUGCCCUGGGAGAGAUGGUCAUUCCUGUAGUGGUUGGAUCUCUUCAAGGAAAAUACCCACAUCUUCCUGGGAUUCUGUAUGUUUCAUUGGGGUCAGCUAUUGCGACGGGAGUUUUGUUUCCUAUCAUGUACAAACUGGCCACUGCACCUCUUCAUAGCAAGAUUCAGGAAAGUAGAAAGAGUGAAGACCAGAAAGCACUACUGUCCACCUCUAGAUUUAAUGAUGAGGAUGAAGAUGAUUAUGGAGAAGAGGGUGCUGAAGAAGAAUGGGACAAAGUCGACUUUGAAAUGAUUGAAAUGACCGAUACCAUGAGGAAUUCGGUAAUAGAGACAUCUAGAAAAAUUUUGAGGGAAUCUCCCACAGAAAUCUCUAGCCAUUUAUUGUCAAAUGAUACACCAUUCAGUUCCUCUCUGGUUAUUACUGGCAACUCACCUGUGAAGCCCCUCCCUCUAGAUAGGGAAAAGAAUGACUAACGGAGUAGAAGAUGGAUUGGUUAUUGAUUCCCUGUAACAACUAUUGAUUUUAAGGAGUCAGAUCAAACACAUUUUAGGGUUUGGCACUGUAUCUGUGAAUUCAACAAAUGGAAAAUUCUGAUGUGUCAUGUCAGCCUAGAGUCUUUGACAGCAAAAGGAGGUCAGGUAUGGUCAGGUGUGGCUAGUAAAGUGACUUUACUGUAAAGUAACCCCCUACAUUCAGAGGAUGCAAAGAAGGCAUAAAUAUUUGAGAAGUUUCCUACCAGCAGAAGUCACCUAAAGGAGCGAUUGAAGAGUAGAAUAAAUUAUCAGAAUUCAAGAAACUACUGGUAGAGUUGGUAAAUAACCAACUCUAGUCGGUAAAGCCUCAUGAAAGAAUCUAUUUCUCUCCUGAAAAAGCUUCUUUAACCUGGACAGAUACUGUACAGACACUUCUUCUAUUCAACUUGGAGCAAAUGAUGGUGAUAGGUUCUGAUUUCUGAUUCAAAAUUUUUUUCUGAUAAUAAUGAGAAAAUGUGGUGUAAUGGAAAGAACUCUGCAAUGGGAACCAAGAGAUUUUGGUUCUAGUUAUAACUUUAACCACCAAUUAGCUCCAUGAUCUUGCCUAAAUUCACUUAAUUUCUCUCUGUCUAAAUUUUCUUGUAAAAAUGAGAGUAUUUGGCUUUGAUCACCAAGGUCUUUUCUAGCUCUAAAAUUCUUUGUUUGGUAAUGAGAUGUUCUCCAAAGAAUUAAAUGCACUAACUUUAGUUGUUCAGGUUGUUAAUAAGGGCCAUUCCAUUCUUCCCAGAAAGGAGGGAAAUUGUGAGAAAAGAAGUAGUGGAAAGAAGAGAGAGAGAAAUGACAAAAUCACUUUAAGAUGAUGAUGAAUUUGAUGGCCUGAAAAUUUUACAUACUUUAAUAUUUAAUACUUUGAGUUUUUGUCUUAAGAAGACAUCCUUAAUCAAUAAUUAACUAUAGGAAGUUUAUGCUGUUGACAAUUAUAUUUAAAGGAAAAAAACUACUGAAAAGUUAGAAAUUUAUUUUUCUAUGCUGAUUAUUUUUCUCUAAGUUUGAAGGGGGAAUUUGCAUAUCUAAAUUUUUACUAUUAAAAAAUAGCUUAGAGUAGUAUUCCUACAUUGGUAGACAAAUAGAGAAGGACCCUUCUAAGGGUCCAUUACUUACCACUGCUACAAAUUUAUUUCUGAGUUUUGCAGGACUAGAAACUCAGUUAUAUCUGUUUUUUAUCUAGGUUUUGGUUGAUAGCCACAUUCAUAAGAGACUGAGCUAUUAACCCAGAGUGCCAGUUCUUUUAGAGUAAGGAAUUUGCCUUUGCAGUGUUAUAUGCUCCUGUUGCCCUUCCAGGGCAAGCCUCUUGCUUUUGUUGCAUACCCAGGAGACCAGAUGAAAAUUUGGUAUGUUACUCAGUGUCUGUAAUGUCCUUGAAGAGGAAGUAGAGCAUCUUUCAAAGGUUGUUUUCAUACACGUCAUAGAAAACUCGAUGAAUUCUCCUCCACAGUGGACAAUCUGGAGAAUCCUAGGUUAUUAACUUAUUCCCUUAAAGUGUGUCUCUUCGUGCACACUAUAUUUUUUUUCUCCAGAUUUCAUACUGACCACACUUUUUGAUUCUGUGUUUCUACCUUAGUGCAACAUAUCUUUCUCUUACCUAGUUCCUUCACACCCAAAUGGUGUACCUGUGCUGAUUUCCCAGUGAACCUCUGAUGGUCUUAGUGCUCAAAUGUGUAUCCUUUCAUCAUCUUACCUUGUUUCUAAGGCAGGGCAGCCUUUGAGUCUUGGAACCCUUUUACUUGUUUACUACAUUAGACCACACUGAAUGACCCUAAUCUUAGGGAGAGUUGUGGGGAGUAUAAAGGGGAAGAAAAACCCUCCUAUGCUUUUUAUAGCUCCCUUUGUCUGUGAGUUUAUAGAUGCUUCAUUUGCUUCUCCACUCUGCAAGCCAUCUGAUGGAUUAAUACAGCAAUUAUAGGAACAGCAAGGUUGCGGAGUGGAUAGAGCACUGGCCCUGGAGUCAGGAGGACCUGAGUUUAAAUGUGGCCUCAGACAAAAUGAUACUCACAAGCUGUGUGACCCUGGGCAAGUCACUUAACCCCGAUUGUCUCACAGAAAAAAAAAAUACAGCAGUUAUGCUAACAGUGGAGUGGAGAGGGACAGGCUGAGCUGGAGAAUGGUGGUUAUUACACCUUUCUCAUAGCUCCUUUUAUAGGUGGAUGAAUGGCAUGGUUGGCUGUGGCCUAGGAAGAGAUAAGAGAAAAACAAAAGAUGCCAGGAAAUAAGAAAAAGUACAUAGAAUUCCCUGAAAAGCUACUCACCAUCAUAGACUACAUUGUGGGUAGCCAUAUGGGUUAUAUAUGUAUGUGUGUGUGUGUGUGUGUAUAUAUGUGUGUGUGUGUGUAUAUAUAUAUCCAGAACUAGAUUGUAUUUUCCUUAUUGUUAGGAGAAGAAUUGAAACUUAUAUCUCUGGAAGUUAGUGUUCCUAAAAAUCACUUCUCUGGGAAAUGAGUCAUGAUACCCAUCAUCUGUAUAAUCAAAACCUUAAGUAUUCAGGUUGCUCAAGACAGUUGAAGAUUCUAUUGAAUGAAAAAAAAUUAAGUGUGAUGCAAUAAACAUUUAUUAAGCACUUAAGAACUAUACUUCCUGUUUCCCCCCUUCCCCACCCCCUAAAAUCAGAAGUCAGUUUAAGAGUUACUAUGAAGGAUUUCUCUAUCCUUCUAGGGCCAUAAAGAAAGGGAUGGGGAAGUGAACAACAACCCCCCCCCCAACUUCUUUUAGUCAAGACUGAAAGCAUUAAUAAAGUGGUAAUUUUAUUACUAAUAUUGGUAUAUUGAUAUAUAUAUAUAUAUAACAUAUAUAUAUAAAAAUGAUGUUACCAUAUAUGUAUGGAAAAAAAACCCAGCACAAACCAUACAAAGCAAAAACACAACACAUAAUUGGAAGAACAAUAUAAUUGCACAUUCAUAAGAAAAAGUGCCAGAGGUAAGCCUUUAUACCUUUAUGUUUCAUGUCUUUAUAUCUUUAUGUCUCAUGUGGUACCUUUGCUAGAGGCAUUUCUACUAAUAUAAGUUAGUAAGGAAAUUUCAGUUAAUCAGAACAACCCCAAACCCCAGUCAUGAUAUCUAAACAGGGUUAUUGUAACAUAACCCCUUAAAAAGUACAUAAUGGAGAUUAUUAUAUCCCUUCCUAAGGCAUUGUAACUGCAGGGGUACUUUGAUCUUACUUAUCCUAUUAAAAUAACUGCCUGUGCAAUUUAAUUGAAUCAGAACUUUUCUGUUAAUUUGCCCCACAGAAGUUUACCCUGUAAUGUUCCAUAUGCCUGGGAAAACUAGCAACUGCAGUGAGAUGUUAGCCUUCGAAAACUACUGGUCCUUUGCUCAGUAGCAAUAAAAUCAAUUUAAAUUUGUCCCCUUACAUCUUCCUGUUUCUCCUGUGGCUGUGCUGCUUUUAAAGUCUGCCAUCUGACACUCCCUUUCCUUCCAGUUUCUUACAGUGAGUAUGGUAUUUUACUGUUAUUCCUUUUACUUUAUUAGAAAAUAAAAAAUAAAUUUGCUCAUGAUCUCUAAAUGGAGUACUGCUCCCCUUUACUGUCAUUUGGUUGUGACUGAAUGGCAGACCCGCAUAAACCUUGGAAGUUUGCUGGGGGAGGUAGCUGGUUCUAGAGGCAGACUCUUAAUAUCUGAACAAAUAGAGGAGAUUAUAUAGUUCUGACUUUUGAUCAUUUUGCUUUUACUUUGUCAUAAUCAAACUUUUUUUUCCCCUGGUAGAAACUGGAUUUCAUCAGAGUAUUAUAUUGAGACCUCAGUACACUAGAGAAAUUUUUCAGCCCAUUUAGCUCAUUAAUAUCACAUGUAGAUUUUCAACAUUUAAAUUGAAGUGGAACUUUAAAUGUGUUUGUCUCCUUAAUCUGUAGAAUUGAGCAGGUUGGAAUAGAUUAUCUCUGAAGACCCUUCUAGCUCUAAAUCUAUGAGUCUGUGAACUGAUAAGCAUUUUUUUUUUUUUCCAAAGAGACUUGGUUUCCAUGUUGCUGUAUCACCAAAGGAGGUAUGUUGAUUCUCUUGAAUUAAUAUAAUAUGAAUUUCUUCUGUGUGCCUCUUAUGCGUGAUGUGAAAUAUCUGACCUUACUGUAGUUGAUGUAGUUAGUAGAUGCUACCAUCUUGCAUUUUGGAAUUUUGAUCAUGAUGUUCUACAAAAUAGUGGGUAAAAUAUUGUUAAGUAGAAUUAAGGAAAGUAGCAUCAGAAGCAAUAGGGGUGUCCUACGUAUCUUUUUUUUCUGUCAGGCAAUUGGGGUUAAGUGACUUGUCCAGAGUUACACAGGUAGUGAGUGUUACAUGUCU